rnacentral:rRNA from 1 species
AUUGAACGCUGGCGGCAGGCCUAACACAUGCAAGUCGAACGAGUGGCGGACGUGUGAGUAAUGUCUGGGAAACUGCCCGAUGGAGGGGGAUAACUACUGGAAACGGUAGCUAAUACCGCAUACCAUCGGAUGUGCCCAGAUGGGAUUAGCUAGUAUGUGGGGUAACGGCUCACCUGGGCGACGAUCCCUAGCUGGUCUGAGAGGAUGACAAAGCAAACUGGAACUGAGACACGGUCCAGAAUCCGACGAGGGGCAGCAGUGGGGAAUAUUGCACAAUGGGCGCAAGCCUAAUGCAGCCAAGCCGGGUGUAUGAAGAAGGCGUUAGGAUUGUAAAGUACUGUCAGCGAGGAGGCGUUACUCGCAGAAGAAGCACCGGCUAACUCCGUGCCAGCAGCCGCGGUAAUUC